rnacentral:rRNA from 1 species
UACGUAGGGGGCAAGCGUUGUCCGGAUUUACUGGGCGUAAAGAGCGUGUAGGCGGCCAAGCAGGUCCGUUGUGAAAACUGGAGGCUUAACCUCCAGACGUCGACGGAAACCGCGUGGCUAGAGUCCGGAAGAGGAGAGUGGAAUUCCUGGUGUAGCGGUGAAAUGCGCAGAUAUCAGGAAGAACACCGAUGGCGAAGGCAGA